UAAGUAGGGAAAAAAAUCUUUCUGCAUCCUUGUGUAUACUAAAUCUGUCACUUCUGAAAUGAAUUCUCUUCCAGAAUAUGGGUAAUGACUUGUCACCUCUUCAGUUUGAUCCUCUGCCCUUUCAUCAAGGCUUGCAAUGGGAAUGCAGCACUCUCAGCAGUACAACCACUCAGGGAAAUCCCUAAAGAAUGGAGAAGACAUGCGACAACUCAAAGAAAAUUAUUCUGACAAACCUGUGCUUCAGACUCAUUCAUUUCUGCUUCCCCUGCCUCCUUGCCAAAAAUGUGCUCCCUCUUUGCCUGUGUCUCUCACACAUUGCUGAGCAGUCUCUCACUGUGCUCAGCUUCAUUUAGGGUGCUGCUCCCAAGGUGAAACUUGCUCUUGGAGGUGUUCAGUGCAGUUCAGAUUUAUCUGCAUGUCUUGCCUGGGGACCCAACACGUAAGAGGAGGACAGUUGGUGAAGGUGAAACACAGAGGGUUUUCCUCUGCUGAACUGUGACUUUGGAACCAGCGAGAAGAUAGUAAUCUCAGCACUCAAAAAAAAAAAAAAAAAAAAAAGUGAAAUGUCCCUCCCUCUGACUUUUAAUACAGUAACACAGAAUAAUCUAAAAUGUCAAUAUACACUCCUUCCCUUCAAGGCUACAGAAGAUCAUGACCAGCUGGAUUACAGGGACCAGCUUGGUUUAGGAUAAUGCUUAAAGCACACAUUGAUAAGAAGGAUAAAUAGGAAACUAUUUCCAUCAGAGCACCAACACAAGAUGUUUACAUAGAACGUAGAAUGCAGACUAGAAUAAUGCACCAUCUCCCUUUUUACCUAAAAUAAUGCCCCUGCCACCACCAAGAUUAAGUCCUGGAUUGUAUCCUUGGAAUUACAGAAAUAGCUGUGAUGAGCAAAAGGCAUUUUAGUUUGCCUGUCACAGCAGAAGAUGACAAUACAUCUGCAGUAUGCUGACACUCCUCCUUAUCUGCCUGCACUGCUCUACUUGGAGAAAAUCACUAGAAGCUGCGAUAAGCAGGUAUCCGAACCAAGAACUGACAGAUGGUUGCCUUUUACAAGGUAUAUGAAGAAAUGCACAAAGGGGCAUCCAGCCUCAGUCUUCGAAAAAUACUGUAUUGUGAGCUGCAACACUACUAAUAACUAAACUUAUUGUGUGCCAAUCAAGCAAAUAAAAAUACAUAUAUGAAAUACUUGUUUACUUGU
rnacentral:lncRNA from 1 species